rnacentral:tRNA from 2 species
CUCUCGGUAGCCAAGUUGGUUUAAGGCGCAAGACUGUAAAUCUUGAGAUCGGGCGUUCGAAUCGCCCCCGAGAGA